UCUAAAUACGGAUGUAUCUAGUUACAUUUUAGUGUUAGAUACAUCCGUAUCUAAACAAAUGUAAGACAAGAAUUUUGGGACGGAGGGAAUACUAC
rnacentral:pre_miRNA from 1 species